rnacentral:rRNA from 1 species
GAUGAACGCUGGCGGCGUGCCUAAUACAUGCAAGUCGAGCGAACAGACGAGGAGCUUGCUCCUCUGACGUUAGCGGCGGACGGGUGAGUAACACGUGGAUAACCUACCUAUAAGACUGGGAUAACUUCGGGAAACAGGAGCUAAUACCGGAUAAUAUAUUUAACCGCAUUGUUCAAUAGUGAAAGACGGUUUUGCUGUCACUUAUAGAUGGAUCCGCGCCGCAUUAGCUAGUUGGUAAGGUAACGGCUUACCAAGGCAACGAUGCGUAGCCGACCUGAGAGGGUGAUCGGCCACACUGGAACUGAGACACGGUCCAGACUCCUACGGGAGGCAGCAGUAGGGAAUCUUCCGCAAUGGGCGAAAGCCUGACGGAGCAACGCCGCGUGAGUGAUGAAGGUCUUCGGAUCGUAAAACUCUGUUAUUAGGGAAGAACAAAUGUGUAAGUAACUAUGCACGUCUUGACGGUACCUAAUCAGAAAGCCACGGCUAACUCCGUG